AUGGUGAACGUUCCUAAGACCUGCCGGAUAUUCUGCAAGAAAUGUGGGAAGCACCAACUCCACAAGAUGGCACAAUACAAGAAGGACAAGGAUUCUUUGUAAGCCCAGGGAAAACAGUGUUAUGACAGGAAACAGAGUGGCUAUGGUGGGUAGACUAAGCCCAUUUUCUGCAAAAAGGCUAAAACCACAAAGAAGAUUGUGCUGAGACUGGAGUGUGUUGAGCCCAACUGCAGAUCUAAGAAAAGAGGUGGAAGCAUUUUGAAUUGGGAGGCAACAAGAAGAGAAAGGGCUAAGUGAUUCAGUUC
rnacentral:lncRNA from 1 species